rnacentral:rRNA from 1 species
GAAGUCAGACCGUAAGGACUGGUGGAGCGCUUAGAAGUGAGAAUGCCGGUAUGAGUAGCGAAAGACAAGUGAGAAUCUUGUCCACCGAAUGCCUAAGGUUUCCUGAGGAAGGCUCGUCCGCUCAGGGUUAGUCGGGACCUAAGCCGAGGCUGAAAAGCGUAGGCGAUGGCCAACAGGUUGAUAUUCCUGUACCACCUCCCCGCCGUUUGAGUAAUGGGGGGACGCAGUAGGAUAGGGUAAGCGCGCUGCUGGAUAUGCGCGUUCAAGCAGUUAGGCUGAUGAGUAGGCAAAUCCGCUCAUCAUAAAGGCUGAGCUGUGAUGACGAGGGAAUUAUAGUACCGAAGUUCCUGAUUCCACACUGCCAAGAAAAGCCUCUAGCGAGGCGGGAGGUGCCCGUACCGCAAACCGACACAGGUAGGCGAGGAGAGAAUCCUAAGGUGAUCGAGAGAACUCUCGUUAAGGAACUCGGCAAAAUGACCCCGUAACUUCGGGAGAAGGGGUGCUCUGGUAGGGUGUAUAGCCCGAGAGAGCCGCAGUGAAUAGGCCCAGGCGACUGUUUAGCAAAAACACAGGUCUCUGCGAAGCCGCAAGGCGAAGUAUAGGGGCUGACGCCUGCCCGGUGCUGGAAGGUUAAGAGGAGGGGUUAUCCUUUGGGAGAAGCUCUGAAUCGAAGCCCCAGUAAACGGCGGCCGUAACUAUAACGGUCCUAAGGUAGCGAAAUUCCUUGUCGGGUAAGUUCCGACCCGCACGAAAGGCGUAACGAUCUGGGCACUGUCUCAACGAGAGACUCGGUGAAAUUAUAGUACCUGUGAAGAUGCAGGUUACCCGCGACAGGACGGAAAGACCCCGUGGAGCUUUACUGUAGCCUGAUAUUGAAUUUUGGUACAGCUUGUACAGGAUAGGUAGGAGCCUGAGAAGCCGGAGCGCUAGCUUCGGUGGAGGCGUCGGUGGGAUACUACCCUGGCUGUAUUGAAAUUCUAACCCGCGGCCCUGAUCGGGCCGGGAGACAGUGUCAGGUGGGCAGUUUGACUGGGGCGGUCGCCUCCUAAAAUGUAACGGAGGCGCCCAAAGGUUCCCUCAGAAUGGUUGGAAAUCAUUCGUAGAGUGUAAAGGCACAAGGGAGCUUGACUGCGAGACCUACAAGUCGAGCAGGGACGAAAGUCGGGCUUAGUGAUCCGGUGGUUCCGCAUGGAAGGGCCAUCGCUCAACGGAUAAAAGCUACCCCGGGGAUAACAGGCUUAUCUCCCCCAAGAGUCCACAUCGACGGGGAGGUUUGGCACCUCGAUGUCGGCUCAUCGCAUCCUGGGGCUGUAGUCGGUCCCAAGGGUUGGGCUGUUCGCCCAUUAAAGCGGUACGCGAGCUGGGUUCAGAACGUCGUGAGACAGUUCGGUCCCUAUCCGUCGUGGGCGUAGGAAAUUUGAGAGGAGCUGUCCUUAGUACGAGAGGACCGGGAUGGACACACCGCUGGUGUACCAGUUGUCUUGCCAAAGGCAUCGCUGGGUAGCUAUGUGUGGACGGGAUAAGUGCUGAAAGCAUCUAAGCAUGAAGCCCCCCUCAAGAUGAGAUUUCCCAUAGCGCAAGCUAGUAAGAUCCCUGAAAGAUGAUCAGGUUGAUAGGUCAGAGGUGGAAGC